AACCUUUGCAGGCUGCCAGCCCCCAGGCUGGGCUGGGCGAGUAUCUCUUGGAAAGGCUCACCCUCCAGCACGACUAGGAGG
rnacentral:pre_miRNA from 1 species